rnacentral:snRNA from 1 species
GUGGUGUGUUUGGUGGAAGCGUU